rnacentral:rRNA from 1 species
AGUCGAGCGAGCUUGCCUAGAUGAUUUUAGUGCUUGCACUAAAUGAAACUAGAUACAAGCGAGCGGCGGACGGGUGAGUAACACGUGGGUAACCUGCCCAAGAGACUGGGAUAACACCUGGAAACAGAUGCUAAUACCGGAUAACAACACUAGACGCAUGUCUAGAGUUUGAAAGAUGGUUCUGCUAUCACUCUUGGAUGGACCUGCGGUGCAUUAGCUAGUUGGUAAGGUAACGGCUUACCAAGGCAAUGAUGCAUAGCCGAGUUGAGAGACUGAUCGGCCACAUUGGGACUGAGACACGGCCCGAACUCCUACGGGAGGCAGCAGUAGGGAAUCUUCCACAAUGGACGAAAGUCUGAUGGAGCAACGCCGCGUGAGUGAAGAAGGGUUUCGGCUCGUAAAGCUCUGUUGGUAGUGAAGAAAGAUAGAGGUAGUAACUGGCCUUUAUUUGACGGUAAUUACUUAGAAAGUCACGGCUAACUACGUGCCAGCAGCCGCGGUAAUACGUAGGUGGCAAGCGUUGUCCGGAUUUAUUGGGCGUAAAGCGAGUGCAGGCGGUUCAAUAAGUCUGAUGUGAAAGCCUUCGGCUCAACCGGAGAAUUGCAUCAGAAACUGUUGAACUUGAGUGCAGAAGAGGAGAGUGGAACUCCAUGUGUAGCGGUGGAAUGCGUAGAUAUAUGGAAGAACACCAGUGACGAAGGCGGCUCUCUGGUCUGCAACUGACGCUGAGGCUCGAAAGCAUGGGUAGCGAACAGGAUUAGAUACCCUGGUAGUC